GUCACUUCUGUACACUGCGUUUUCGAGCUGCUUGCGGAGCUUUCUAGCGAUGGAGACCGACGAAGGUGGGUCGCUGGCGCUUGCUUCCGUUUCGACUUCGAGUUCCGACGACCCGCUUUGGCUUCCCAGGUGAAGAUGGUGGAGUAGAAUCCAGAGAAGGAUUUUCUGGCUAUGGUCAUGGAUGACACGAAGGUGGCGGUGCUUGUCGAUUCAAUUGGCAGAGGCGGUGGACGAUCUCUCCUGGGUAUUGCUUCGAGUCAAGAAAGUUCGCUUCUUUAAUGAUGGCUUGGUGUGUGUGCCCAUUUAGUCGUUGGCCUUAUCUCGUUCUGCUUCUUAGGCUUUUCCUAAAUGUGCUUCUCUGCCCUUUUCGCCAUAAGAACCACUGUAAGUGCCAAUCUAGGUUGAAUUGCGUUCAGUAGAGGAUUGGACGAAUAUAGAGGUAUAAAGUGCUUGGAAGUCUGAAUGAGAAGGUGAUGUCGAACCAAGGAGUUGGUCUUUUACACUGAAACGAAGAGUGAAUGUAGGUGAUGCGAUUGGAAAUCUAGAGAGGACUCAGUCUCAAGUAAAAAAUUCCAAGCUGGUAUCAGUAGAAUAAAGGGAUUUUAUUUAUAGGCGCAAUGGAUUCUUAUCGACUUCUCAACCAGGUUUUUCCCUUCUUUGUACACUAGUUAGAGUGUCCAUGAAAAUAAUUAACAUGAAUUGGGGGGAUGCCAUUUAUGCUAGAUAGAUUAGAUAUCUCCGAUGCAGAAAUGCUUGAUGCCCACUUGGAGUUCGCAGGUUUAGCCCCUGCAGAAUACCAUCUAAAUGUCAUCAGGCAUCUAAAAAGAUCUUAAAUUUCUGAUGGUGACUCUCACAAUGUAAUUUUACUGCUGGCUCCCCUUCUUUUACCGGUUGAGCAUUCUUUUACUGAUUGCACGUGCCCUACAAGGAGAGCUUUAGCGUAUAUUGAAAUAUAGACUAUAGGCGGAAAGUUUCUCACAUUUUGUAUUACUUGAAGUUUUAUUUAUCUUCUUCUCAUUAUAGAAGGGCAUUUCAUCACAUCAUUUUGGCUAAUCAAGUUCGUUGGUUGGAGUUUUAGCUUUUGGAUAUAUCUCAAGCUAUGCUGCGUACUUAUAUGACAAUCUGGUCAAGAGGGACAUUGGGAGAAAUUGGAGAAAGCAAAGAGACUAGGAGGGUAAGGGGAGCUGCAUCUAAGUAUGUUAAGAUCCUAUAUGACAAUCUUUUGGUAAUUCAAAUUUGUAAGAGCCUAGGAUUAUAUGCCUAACUUGGUAGUUCUUCCUGUCUAUUCUCCCUGGAAAAAUUUAGAGGGGAGAUUUUUUCUCCAAGAAACAUCCAAAUGCUCCGCUCAUCAUAUUGUCUUCUGGAUAUGGAGAACAUUUUGAGUGCAACAUAGUACUUGAGCCAGUACUUGAAUGGUUUCUGUUAAGAACCUAAGUUUUAAAUACAAGUACACUGCAAUCUUCGCCUGGAGAAAUUUUUCGAGCAUCUACUCCACCUUGAGGUUCCAUAGUUGAGCAACAAGAUUUGUUUUUCAAUUCAUAUAUUGGAUUGGAGCCUGCCAACAAGAUAUAGAUUCUCUCGCUUUAGAUGACCUACUAGCCCAAAGAAAUCUUGUAUAAAGUGACCGCCUCUUAGUUAUUUUGUGCAGUUAUGAUGUUUUGCCUCACUUCACUAAUUUUGAUUAACAUUUUGUUGCUUAAUGUUUGUGCUCUAUCUUUCCUCUUCUUCUGUCAAUUUUGUUGGGAACAAAUAACCCCCCCCCUUUUCUUUUUUGUUUAUAAUGAAUCGCUUUCUUUGCACAUUGCAAUGUGGGUCAUCAAUUCUGGCUUCUCGUAAUCAUUCCAAUCUACUCCAGGUAAAUGUAUAGCAUCAUUAUGCCAGUGUCCUGAUGGCAAGGUUGUUGUCUUGGACUUGAAGAUGAUAAGUUUGACUGCAUGAUCUCAAAGUGAGCUUUCUAAGUUGUCAUUUGAAUGUUACCCUCAUUGCUUCUCAACUAGAAAUUCCUUCUGCAACAAUCCUUUGUCAUCAGAACGUGUCCUUCCUUAAUCUCCUGGGAAAGAUUCUGAAUUGCUCAAAAUCUGCAUGAUGCAAUGCACACAGCAAACUUGCUCAGCAAAAAUUGAGCUGCUAAUAGAGAUAGCAAUCCACUUUUAUCGGUCAUGUCUGUCAAUGUCAAGUUAACAAUGGAUUGCUAGAUACGUCAAUCUGAGCAAGAUAUGAUUAACAAAAAAAAUUGUUGGAAAACUCUGUCCAAACAUGACCCUUUUGUUAAAUAGGUGAACAAAUUACAAGAGAUGAAUAAGCCAUUUAACUAGUUAGAUAUAAUUGAAUGGGUCAUUCCAAUCCUCACAUGACCAACACAGCAUAUGUACAAUAUGCAUAUCAUCAUCAAUGUCAAUUAAAUUUGAAAAGAAACAAAAUUCAUGUAUGAUUAUUAUUAAAGAUUUUAAUAAACUAAAUAUAAACAGAUCAUGAUUAGUCAGGUUGUUAAUCAAGUUGGCACUAUUGUUUAGUUAGAUAGAUUACAUGACUCGAUUUCUGUUUCACAGUUUGAACUUUGAAUUCAGAACAAUAUUCAUUUAUUUAUUGUGUUAGCUGUUAAGUAGGGAGCCACAAUUUUGAUAUGACAUGGAAAUUUGAGUCAUGAAUCAAAAAAUCAAAUCUAUGGAUUGUGGAUUGUGAAUUUCAUCCAAUGGAAUUAUAAACAAUGAUAAUGAUGUUUGAGAUUGUUAUUCCAUGACAGACGUAAUUACUAGAUAUUGAUUGUAAAGUAUGGUGUUAUUUUUAUUGUUAGGUAAUUACUAAUGAUAAAGAUACUUCAAAUUUGACUAAUGUUAUUAUUUCUAGACAUGAGAUAUUACUACAUUUUAUUUUUCUUUUAUCAAAUAAGUACCCAUUUGACAAGGACACAAACAUUGUGUACAUAGUAUUGUAAUUGGAUUCCCAUUCAUAGAAUUUAGUAUAAGACAAUCAAAUCAUCCACUAAGCCUGAUGCAGCCAACAAGUUAUGCAAGGUGACUACCAAGUUUCUGGUGAAGAUUGACUUUGAAACUCAAACAAGGAUCAGGAUUUGUCUUGAAGUUUAAUCAGUGAAUUUAUCAACUAGGAUUUGAGUAUUAUUAGGAUUUUACGAUGUUUCCUUCUUCCUUUUAAGUUUGAGUAGGAGGAUCUUACAUAUACUCCAAUAAUGUUUCUUGUUUAGAGAUUUCCUAUUUCAACUAGGAGUAGAACUUUUAGAGAGUCUACAAAUAUAGUUAUAAUUUUUACUUUUCAACAGAGUUGAUAAUUCAUUGAACUUGGCAAGUGUUGCUUUGCAGAUUGUGUGAUGCAAUUCCUCUUUGGUGUCUUGCUUAAAAAACCCUAGGUGUCAUGUUUAGGCAGUUUUGUGUGUGAUGCCUAAAUAUUUAUUCUUUAUCGUGGGACUCAUCGUCCUACACCAAAGCCUUGAAAUGUUUUUGACACUACAGUGUUUGAUGCAUGAGUUAAAUUAUGAAUCACGGAAAUUGAUUGACUCAUAUCUAAUCGGUGAAAUCAGCAGUGAAUUACUUUAAUCACCAAUCAUACAUAACUUAUAUACUAUUCAAUAGAUUUAUAUACUUUAGGACUUGAAUAUGAUUGAUGUGCUUAAUUGCAUUCUUGUGUAGGAAAAAACAUUUCCUCCCAUGCUAAUGCCGUCAUCAAUGAUUUAAACUAUUUCAAUUGUCAACGACAAAUUAAAGCAUAAUGUUUGCUGGGGACAACCUCAUUGUGAGAAUAUAUGGUCUAAGUGGAUGGUGUCAUGUAGAAGCAUUCAUCUGUGACAUGCUUAUUUUCAUCAAAAUUAAUAGCUUUCUUCAAUUAUUUGUAAUAUAUGUUUAGUUCAGUCAAAUUAAGAAGGUGAUUAUUUAGGUGACUCUUAAAUGAUAUGACCUGUAUGUGCUUCAAUUAUGCUUGUGGGUGGAAAAGUUUGUAAGUAAUUGGUUAUAUUUCUAUUAAGCUAUAACUGCUUGGUCAUGAGUAGAAUGGCUCAGAACUUGGCUGUACUUGCUGUAAUUCUGUUUCUUUGAGAUUUCUACCAGUUUAUUACUAAUCGUCCUCUUCAUGGAUUACAUUUUACUGAGAAGGGAGUUUGUUUGUACAUAAUGAAUGCUAUCUUACCAAAAUAGUUGUCUUUAUGGAACAAUGGAUAUGUGAUGUGCUGCUUUUGAUAUGCACUAGCUUGCAGCAGUUAUGCACACUGUAGUAUAAUCAUUUCUAGCAUGGUAUAAAUAACAAGCAGAAUGGAAAACUGUUAAGAAGCUUGAAGUCCCAUAUGGCAGUUGUGGUGUGUCUCAACUGGGAGGAGGAUGCCCAAAUUAAUUGAGUAUGUGGCAUCUUUCAACUUAAAAGUUGAUAUAACUUUGUGAUCUUUAUUACCAAUAACAGAUAUCUUAUGGCUCACACCUUUUUAUAAUGCUCUGUUUGCAUUUAAAUAAUUGUUUUAGUCUGGUUUUCUUAAAUAUUUAGAAUCUUAUUUCAUAGUCCAACAGCUUUAGCAUGGGUUUUGUGGAAGAUUUUUUGAAAGAGUAUGUUUGGUGUCAUCUGUAACUUGUUGAUUUGUUUGCCUCCUUAGCUUUAAUCUCAUAUUUUUUAUGUUCCAACUGGAAAGUAAUUAUUCAUUUGUUUAUAGAACGCUUUUAGUAACUCUUUGGCAUUUGAAGAUCGCACUACUUGAUUCUUCCCUCCAGGUCCAAGAGUUCCUCAAAUGCCUGAACUAGUACCCGGAGAUGCUGGUUUAACUGACAAUGUUCAAGAUUCAUUUGUAGAGCACUCAAAUUCUUCAAAGCGAUGUUUGCAUAUCUUUUGCGUUGGAGAUAAAGAUGGGCUUUUGUGCUUUAGUGGGUUUGGUGUCUUUCCAAUCGCAAAUAUUUGUAAACAUCCUAUUUACUCAAAUCAAAUAUUUAUGAGUAUGAUCUAUCAGAUUCAGUUUAUGAUUCCUCUUUCCUUGUUCUUGUUUCUCA